UUUGGAGAGGAGCUCAGAUCUGAGCACAACACAUGCGUGUCAGUGUGUUGGGCAACAUGGGCUGCGUAAGGCAGCCAACGGUCUCCUUUGAUCCCAGACAGGACUCAGCCAUUUAUUUAUUCACUCACUCUUUCACUUGUUCACCCUUCACUCCAUCCUUUAUUUGCCCAGGGAGUCAGGCCCCUCGGAGUCUAAUGGGAAAGACAGGCCUAACAUCAGGUCAGGGCCCCUGUGGUUCCCAAUCACCCAUCCAUCCAUCCAUCCAUCCAUCCAUCCAUCCAUCCGUCCAUCCCCCACGUAUUGAGUGCAUCCUGAGCUCUAGAGAGGAGAGAGCCUGUCCUCAUCUCUAGGUACUCUUGGUCCACUGAGGGGAACAGAGAAGUAAACAGACAUCUGUAAACCACAUGCUUCUGUGUUCAUUGAGGCAACCACUAUUUGAGAGCCCUCCAUGAAAGGUGUCAGGACCAGGGAGAUGAAGAGGGCACACUCCUGCCUGUGGUGCACUCAGGCUGGUUGAGGACACGAAGAAAGAGUACGAAUACUCCAGCUUCAAUGCACAGACAGCUGUGAAAACUGCUGGCUGUCCCCAUGCCUUCUGCUCCCGCUUCUGGAAGGGAAGACAGGGCAGGGACCAUGUCCAGCUGCAGAAAAUCCCAGUGUUUUUCUGUGGCAUUGCCUGGUAAAGGCUGAACGUGGCUUUCGUGAGAGCUAAUCUGCCUGCCCAACCAGAUUGUGCUGUGGCUAAAAUUGCUGUGAGCUCGACAGUGCCUGAAGACUGGAGAAAACUGAGCCAUGUCUUGGAUGCUCUUGCGGGGCCUAGGGGAGUGCCAGGCCAGAAGGAGAACUGCCUGUGGACUCUCAGUAGGAAAGCAGCUAACGAGGUGAUGAGUGAGUGUCGCCUGGAAGUCUGGGGGCCAUUCCAUGUGGGUCACAUCGCCUGACCAGAGGGUUGGGUGCCUGGACAGGGCUGAGCUUGGGACUCCUUCCAGGGCCUGGCCUCAGCUGCUGGGCCUGCCGAGCAUGCCCCACAAGCACCCACGCACACAUACAAGUAUGGAGGCAGAGUGGAAGUUUGACUUUUGCAGAUCUCGUACAGCCUGGAGUAGAGAAGAGAAUUGGGAACUCUCAAUGUUGUGUGACCCUAGGCAAGUCCCUUCCCUGCCUUGUGCCUCAGUUUCCCUUUACAUACCAUGAGGAUGUUCCCAGUGUUGGUGUUUUAAUGCCUGCAGACAAGCUAAGCUCAUCAUCUGGUUCCCGGAAGAGAUCCUCCUUUUGUGGAAAGGCCACAGCCACUCUGCCACCCUGAGGCUCCCACUCCUCCUUCUCUGGAACCCUCUCCCUUGCCUGUAGGUCACGGGAAUGUCAAGAGCACCCAGGGAAGUGCCUGCUGCCAGUCAUCACUCACUGAUUAUGUGACAGCAGAGGAGCCAAGAAGCUGCUGGGAAUCGAGACACCCCCCCAUUCAGUCCCCACCAUCUCUGUCUUCAUGAGGUUCCCUGGGAGAAGCUCCUAUGUCUGGGAAUGGAAAUGUCUCCACCUGGAUAGGGACAAACAGGAGCUGGGGGCUGCAUCUUAAGACUUCUUGUCCCAUUAGUGCUGACCUCUGGAGACGGCUCCUGAAUUGUGCCCACUCCCCCACCUCCUCACCACACACAUGCUCUGGGCCGUGCGAGGCUCAGCUUGUCACGGACAAGCUAAAAUGAGGUGGCCUGAAUGCCCCUUAUCAUAGACAGCUUAUCUCCUGUGGUCACUCACCUGACAGACUCCAGAGAGCCACUCAGCGGGCCUCUCCCAGCCGCCUGCUUCUCAGCUCUGACUCUCCCUUGCCUUAAGGGGACACUGGAUUCCAGUGACCCUCCUAUUGGUCAGAGUUGGGCUGAGCACAGAGAAGGGGUAGAAUGCUCCUGGGAACUCGGAAAGCUCUGGGAUGCCAGCUUUUCCCACAUGUUCUCACUCACCCCUCUGUAAUACAGAUUCUGCAGCCCUGCCCCCCACACACACACUCCUACACCUCUGCUCUCAAAGUGAAGAAGUAGGCUAAUAUCUGUGGUACAUUUAUUUACCUACUCCCUGAGACUGCAGCUCCCUUAGUCAGUGUUGUGUCCUCCACUCAGGCUGGGGCUCCCUGAGGAUGGGGCUGUGUCUCCCCUCAGACUGGGGUUCCCCAAGGACAGGGCUGUGUCUCUCCUUAGGCUGGGGUCCCUGAGGGUGGGGCUGUGUCUCCCUGCAGAUUGGGGCUCCCUGAGGAUGGGGCUGUGUCUCCCUGAAGACUGGGGCUCCCUGAGGACAGGGCUGUGUCUCCCCUCAGGCUGGGGCUCCUUGAGGAUGGGACACUUUAAAGAAGAGAAAUUGACAGGUUGACCCUGGGGGAUCUUUGGGUCAAUAAAACAUUCUAUAGACCCUCAGUGGUCAGAC
rnacentral:lncRNA from 1 species